rnacentral:rRNA from 1 species
GGGAGGAGCCCAGCGCCGAAUCCCCGAUCGUCCAGGUCGCGGGAAAUGUGGCGUUUAGGAGUGAGCGUGCCGAGGUCGGGACCCGCAGCAAGUCCCCCUGACCGGGGCCUUCCCAGAGCGGGUGCGAGGCCCAUAGCCGCGGGGCCCGUCUCGGAUGCGAUCUCCUGGGAGUCGGGUUGCUUGGGAGUGCAGCCCUAAUCGGGUGGUAAACUCCACCUAAGGCUAAAUACCGCCGUGAGACCGAUAGCAAACAAGUACCGUGAGGGAAAGUUGCAAAGAACUUUGAAGAGAGAGUUCAAGAGUACGUGAAACUGCUCAGAGGUAAACGGGUGGGCCCUCGAAAUCCUGUGGCGGGAGGAUUCAGUCUGGAGUUGGCGUCGCGCUGGUCGGAAACGCGAGGAAGGGCUUCCCGUGAACGGGGCCGUCCGACCGCGAGCUUCGCUCAGGCCAGACGCAUUUGUCUCCCGCUCGAAGGACGCCGCAGCCGGUCCGGCAGUGCAAACGUGACGGCCUGGAAGGCGGGUGACGGCAGGUGGCCGGUGGCGCUCCCCGUGGGCGUCGCCGGUUGUUAGCCGACCCGUCGGUGGCACGUCGCCGGACCGAGGUAUCGAGAUGCCCUCCGGGGCGUCCGCGUCUCCUCUCCUCCCGAGACGUCGGGACUGUCCGCCGCGAGCGAAGGCAGCCGCGCGGCCGCACCCCCCCAGGGUGGGCCAGCGUCGAGUCGGCGCCGUCGGUGGCGGAGGACCCGUCGGAGGUCGGAGGUUGGCGGCGAGUAGGUCGGUCACCCACCCGACCCGUCUUGAAACACGGACCAAGGAGUCUAACAUGUGCGCGAGUCAAUGGGUCUUGAACAAGCCCAGAGGCGCAAUGAAAGCGAAGGCAGGCGCCACGCCUGCCGAGUCGGGAUCCGUCGUCCCCCGAGGGCGCGGCGCACCGACGACCCGCCCCGUGCGGCUUGCCGCUGGGGCGGA